rnacentral:lncRNA from 1 species
UAUUAUGAUAGUCAAACCUCCAUAACUUUAAGCUCACUUCUUACGUGUCUUUUGUUAUGUGAUUUUCACAGUUUCUUGUAAUUGACAAAAAUCAGUAGGCUUAUAUUCAAGCCUUUUUCUUGCAAUUGUCAAGUUAUAAAACUUUCUACCUUUGCUUUGCUUUGCUUUUUGGUGUACUUUUCUGUAAUUUUGUAUGCAUUUAUAUUACAUUCUGCAUUCUUUAUAUUAUGUAGAAUGCCUAAUUUGUUAAAUAAGAAAGUUGGCAAUAUAUAUUCUUGUUCUUUAAAAAAGAACAAAAUCAGUAAACCAUGUAACGAUGUUAAGUGCAAUGUGCCAUUUGUAAUCUUUGCUAAAUGUGUGUGUGUUUGAUGUUAUGUUGCCUUAUUAGUUUUCUUUAUGAGGAAAAAAAUUGUCUUGCCUGUUUGUGGAUUUGUUUGUCCGUAAUCAUCUUCCUUGACAUCAUCCCGAACACUUCACAGAGAAAAGUUGGCAUUUACACCAUGUUUUCUUAUGAUUAUUAUCUUUCAAGUGCCGGAAGUUCCAAAGACAAUGAUCUCCGAAGAAAAAGUAUCUAUUGCUGUUCCAAAACCAAAACCACCUCCUCCCACAAAAGCUGUAGAAGAGCGAUGGGGAUAUGCAGAGGAAGUGUCUGUUACUCUUCAUACAGAGGAGGAAGUCUCUUAUACAGUCCCUGA